AUGAGUAGGCAUGUUUUCAAUCGUAUUAGAGAGGGAGUGGUCGGCUAUGAUGACUACUUCGAGUGCAAAGAGGAUGCCGUCGGCAAGAUUGGUUUCUCCUCUUAUCAGAAAUGCACUGCCGCCAUCCGAAUGCUUGCAUUCGAAGUGCCCGGUGAUCUCAUUGACGAGUACGUCCGUAUGAGCGUGUCUACAUGCCUAGAGUCCCUGUAUAAGUUCUGCAAGGCUGUGAUUGCUGUGUUUGGCCCUGAGUACUUGAGAGAGCCGACGGCUGAAGAUACAACCCGUUUGUUGACGAUGAAUGCUAGCAGGGGCUUCCCGGGGAUGCUUGGCAGUAUAGACUGCAUGCACUGGGAGUGGAAGAACUGCCCUUAUGCUUGGCAAGGGCAGUAUAAGGGACAUGUCCGGGCUUGCACUGUCAUACUAGAGGCCGUGGCGUCUCAAGAAUGGAUCUGGCACUCUUUCUUUGGUAUGGCUGGAUCACACAAUGAUAUCAACGUGCUUCAGCGCUCGCCGGUGUUUGCUAGGCUUGCCGAAGGCAACAGCCCACCGGUGAACUUUACUGUCAACGGUCACAACUACGACAAAGGGUAUUAUUUGGGUGACGAUAUCUAUCCUCAGUGGACCACUAUUGUAAAGACAAUACCCAACCCUGUCGGAGAGAAAAGGAAAAGAUUUGCCCAAGAGCAAGAGAGUGCUAGAAAGGAUGUUGAGCGUGCCUUUGAUGUUUUGCAAUCUCGAUGGGGCAUCGUUCGGUAUCCUGCUAAUACAUGA
rnacentral:rRNA from 1 species